CUGGUCCGCAUGAAGCAGACUUCGUUAAUAGGAAAUCAUUACACAGCAUCAAUGUACAGAUGAUUUGUGAUGCAGAUUGCAUCAUCACAAAUGUAGAGGCAAAAUGGCCUGGCUCAGUGCAUGAUUCCAGAAUCUUUCGGGCCUCUUCUCUUUCCCACCAACUGGCACAAGGUCAAUUCUCAGGAGUUUUGCUGGGAGACAAGGGAUAUGCAUGCCUGCCUUAUCUCUUGACUCCCUAUCAGGAGACGCAGACUGAGGCACAGCACAACUACAAUAUUGCCCAUGCACGCACAAGAGCUCGUAUAGAGAUGGCAUUUGGGCUCAUCAAGUCAAGGUUCCAGUGCCUGAAUUACCUCAGAGUGAUUCCACAAAGGGCAUGUGACAUUGUAGUUGCAUGUG